GCCCCGGUAGCUCAACUGGAUAGAGCGUCCGCCUACGGAGCGGAAGGUUGCAGGUUCGAAUCCUGCCCGGGGCACCA
rnacentral:tRNA from 1 species